rnacentral:rRNA from 1 species
GGCUGCGACUGUUUAUUAAAAACACAGCACUCUGCAAAUUCGUAAGAAGACGUAUAGGGUGUGACGCCUGCCCGGUGCCGGAAGGUUAAUUGAUGGGGUUAUCUUCGGAGAAGCUCUUGAUCGAAGCCCCGGUAAACGGCGGCCGUAACUAUAACGGUCCUAAGGUAGCGAAAUUCCUUGUCGGGUAAGUUCCGACCUGCACGAAUGGCGUAACGAUGGCCACACUGUCUCCACCCGAGACUCAGUGAAAUUGAAAUCGCUGUGAAGAUGCAGUGUACCCGCGGCUAGACGGAAAGACCCCGUGAACCUUUACUAUAGUUUUGCACUGGACUUUGAUGAUGACUGUGUAGGAUAGGUGGGAGGCUGUGAAGUGAGGACGCUAGUUCUCAUGGAGCCGCCCUUGAAAUACCACCCUGUUGUUAUUGAGGUUCUAACUUGGUCCAGUAAUCCUGGAUGAGGACAGUGUAUGAUGGGUAGUUUGACUGGGGCGGUCUCCUCCCAAAGAGUAACGGAGGAGCACAAAGGUACCCUCGGUACGGUCGGACAUCGUACCAAGAGUGUAAAGGCAAAAGGGUGCUUGACUGCGAGAGUGACGGCUCGAGCAGGAACGAAAGUUGGUCUUAGUGAUCCGGUGGUUCUGAAUGGAAGGGCCAUCGCUCAACGGAUAAAAGGUACUCCGGGGAUAACAGGCUGAUACCGCCCAAGAGUUCAUAUCGACGGCGGUGUUUGGCACCUCGAUGUCGGCUCAUCACAUCCUGGGGCUGAAGCAGGUCCCAAGGGUAUGGCUGUUCGCCAUUUAAAGUGGUACGCGAGCUGGGUUUAGAACGUCGUGAGACAGUUCGGUCCCUAUCUGCCGUGGGCGUAGGAAAAUUGAGAGGAGCUGCUCCUAGUACGAGAGGACCGGAGUGGACGAACCUCUGGUGCACCGGUUGUCACGCCAGUGGCAUGGCCGGGUAGCUAAGUUCGGACGGGAUAACCGCUGAAAGCAUCUAAGCGGGAAGCCUCCCUCAAGAUGAGUUUUCCCAUGAAGCCCGUUGAAGACUACGACGUUGAUAGGCAAGGUGUGGAAGCGCAGUAAUGCGUGAAGCUAACUUGUACUAAUUGGCUGAUUGUCUUGACCAU